rnacentral:rRNA from 1 species
AGCGAACGCUGGCGGCAGGCUUAACACAUGCAAGUCGAACGCCCCGCAAGGGGAGUGGCAGACGGGUGAGUAACACGUGGGAACGUACCCUUUGGUUCGGAAUAACUUGGGGAAACUCAAGCUAAUACCGGAUAAGCAAUUCAGGGGAAAGGUUUACUGCCGAAGGAUCGGCCCGCGUCUGAUUAGCUAGUUGGUGAGGUAAUGGCUCACCAAGGCGACGAUCAGUAGCUGGUCUGAGAGGAUGAUCAGCAACACUGGGACUGAGACACGGCCCAGACUACUACGGGAGGCAGCAGUGGGGAAUAUUGGACAAUGGGGGCAACCCUGAUCCAGCCAUGCCGCGUGAGUGAUGAAGGCCUUAGGGUUGUAAAGCUCUUUUACCCGGGACGAUAAUGACUGUACCGGGAGAAUAAGCCCCGGCUAACUUCGUGCCAGCCGCCGCGGUAA